rnacentral:lncRNA from 1 species
AUCUUGGAAUCUCAUCUCAUCAACGGUUGUAUCUUUAGCAAAAACAGUAUUCACCUUCCUUUCCACACAUCACCAUCAGAUCACGCGCCACACAGAUAUCAAAGCACUCAGAAAUUUAUCAUUCAUCCAUCUGCACAGAUCUCAAAGUGAUCCAUGGAUGAUCCAAUGGUGGAUUCAUGCAAAAGAUACAACCCUGAUCCUCUUCGAGGUUGCAGGUAUUACAGCUCUAAUAGUAGGAUUUGAGUGAUGAUUAUAUGUUGUUUCCCUGG